CCUACGGGAGGCAGCAGUGGGGAAUAUUGCACAAUGGGCGGAAGCCUGAUGCAGCGACGCCGCGUGAGGGAUGACGGCCUUCGGGUUGUAAACCUCUUUCAGCAGGGACGAAGCGCAAGUGACGGUACCUGCAGAAGAAGCGCCGGCCAACUACGUGCCAGCAGCCGCGGUAAGACGUAGGGCGCGAGCGUUGUCCGGAUUUAUUGGGCGUAAAGAGCUCGUAGGCGGCUUGUCGCGUCGACUGUGAAAACCCGCGGCUCAACCGCGGGCCUGCAGUCGAUACGGGCAGGCUAGAGUUCGGUAGGGGAGACUGGAAUUCCUGGUGUAGCGGUGAAAUGCGCAGAUAUCAGGAGGAACACCGGUGGCGAAGGCGGGUCUCUGGGCCGAUACUGACACUGAGGAGCGAAAGCGUGGGGAGCGAACAGGAUUAGAUACCCUGGUAGUCCACGCUGUAAACGUUGGGCGCUAGGUGUGGGGGACCUCUCCGGUUCUCUGUGCCGCAGCUAACGCAUUAAGCGCCCCGCCUGGGGAGUACGGCCGCAAGGCUAAAACUCAAAGGAAUUGACGG
rnacentral:rRNA from 1 species